CUUAGUGGCGGACGGGUUAGUAACGCGUGGGAACGUGCCUUUCACUACGGAAUAGUCCCGGGAAACUGGGUUCAAUACCGUAUACGCCCUUCGGGGGAAAGAAUUUCGGUGAAAGAUCGGCCCGCGUUAGAUUAGAUAGUUGGUGGGGUAAUGGCCUACCAAGUCUACGAUCUAUAGCUGGUUUUAGAGGAUGAUCAGCAACACUGGGACUGAGACACGGCCCAGACUCCUACGGGAGGCAGCAGUGGGGAAUCUUAGACAAUGGGCGAAAGCCUGAUCUAGCCAUGCCGCGUGAGUGAAGAAGGUCCUAGGAUCGUAAAGCUCUUUCGCCAGGGAUGAUAAUGACAGUACCUGGUAAAGAAACCCCGGCUAACUCCGUGCCAGCAGCCGCGGUAAUACGGAGGGGGUUAGCGUUGUUCGGAAUUACUGGGCGUAAAGCGCGCGUAGGCGGAUCAGAAAGUUGGGGGUGAAAUCCCGGGGCUCAACCCCGGAACUGCCUCCAAAACUCCUGGUCUUGAGUUCGAGAGAGGUGAGUGGAACUCCGAGUGUAGAGGUGAAAUUCGUAGAUAUUCGGAAGAACACCAGUGGCGAAGGCGGCUCACUGGCUCGAUACUGACGCUGAGGUGCGAAAGUGUGGGGAGCAAACAGGAUUAGAUACCCUGGUAGUCCACACCGUAACGAUGAAUGCCAGUCGUCGGGCAGUAUACUGUUCGGUGACACACCUAACGGAUUAAGCAUUCCGCCUGGGGAGUACGGUCGCAAGAUUAAAACUCCAAGGAAUUGACGGGGGCCCGCACAAGCGGUGGAGCAUGUGGUUUAAUUCGGACGCAACGCGCA
rnacentral:rRNA from 1 species